UAAUAAAAAGAUUAAUCACUUAUGUCUAAAUUAUUUAAUAUCAAAUCCAUUAAAAAAGAAAUGCUUAUUGAUUGAAUUAUAACUAUGAUAGCCAAGUCUUCCCUCCAAUUCAUCUACUCCUCUCUUCCUUGUGAUCUUCUCACUUCUGAAUUGGUGCUUCAUAUUUUUUUCUUUUUUUUUUUCAGUGCUAGGCUUGUUCCUACUGGUGUUUAUAUACAUCUUUAGUCCUAAUUCUUGCAGGACUUGUAAAAUUUGUGUGAAUCUCCUUUUCCGAGUGAGAAAAGAGCUUGGAACCUGGAAAAUAGCUUACGUGUCAAAAUAUCUCUAAAAUGUGUUUUUAGUGUGGGCCCAAACAGAAAAUAUGACUAGGCCUUCAAAAUCAAUUUUUAUUGACCAAAUCUGAUCCUCACCCUUAGUAUAUGUCUAAUAUAGCUCAAUAAAGUGAAUAAAACCUAAAAAUUUAUCCAAGAAGCAAUCAAAAUCCAUGAAGCCACAAUCUAGUUAUUCUUCACAGUAAUAAGUAUUGUAAUUUUUCUACUCCUUUUUGUUUCUCUACGUCAAAAGUUCCAACAAACAUAAAAGACCAAUAAAGAUUCAAGAAGGUCAUGGAAAUAUCAAAUAACUGCAAAGAAAGUAAUAAAAAUUGAUUUGAAAUUAAGCACUUAUCAUUUAUUGAAAGCGUCAAAAAAUACAUUUAGAUGUUUUUGACAAGGGUGGUUGACGAAGUAGUUUCAAGCAACUUUCUUUUACUAGUUAUCUGAGUUUGAAUCCUAGGGGAGGCAAGAGAUUAAGAAUUGAAUUUGAAAAAAUAAAAAAUAAAUAAAUAAAUUAUUUUUAAUCAUGUCAUCAGGAACUUUGAAAUAGUAUACUAUACACAUAAUCCAAAUAUUUGUAACACAAGAUACUGUGUUUUUAAAUUAUUCCUCUCACAUAUCCUACGUCAACGAGUUACACAAUACCUCAUUCAGUCACCUCUUGAAACUUAUUUUUACAACUUUAAACGCUGAUAAAUUUUUUAUACAUUCAUCCAUGGUGUUAAAACAACAAUAAAAUAGACAUAUUAUUAAAGCACAAAUGUACAAUAAAAUAGACACAUUAUUGAAGCACAAAUGUAAUCUUUUUAUAUACAAAUUCAUGGUCCGAGGCUGCAAAUAAAAAAUUGUGAAUUUAUCUGUUAGAAGGUAAUGUAUUUUUUUCUACCUCCAGUCGAACACUAAAGAUGAAAUGAGGUAUUAAAAAUAUUUAAAGGUGAAUCUAUUAAAGGCAUAGAUCACUAUUGAAUUAGUAAAAAAGAUUGUGGUUCCAAUACCAACCCACACAGUUGGGGAAGAAUUUGAUUUAUUUCGUAAAAUGAGAAUUUUUUAGUGUAAAAAAAAAAAUAAAGAUAUCGUUCCUAGUUGAUGUGGUCGCUAGCUAUUUCAUUUGAGGCAAAAGUGUGACUGGAAAAAUUUGGCACUAUGAGUGCAAGUUGAAUACCUAAUAAAAUGAAAGAAUCAUUUGAGAAAACCUAAGACUAAAAACUGUUUGAUAACUGUUAACAUAAUUGACAAUUUCUUGUGACACAUUUACAGUUUUAAAACUUUGGAUGAUAGUGUAUCAUUAUCAACGUUGAAUUGAGUCCAUCUUUUUCCUGUAUUGAAAAUGAGAAAGACAAGUCUGAGAUUAAGAACUGAUGAAUUUAUCAAGUGAAUGAAUGAAGAUCAGUAUAUGGUCGUUCGGUACCGAUCAAAUUAGCAACCAAUGAAAACUUUUCUGUAUUAAUGUUUCAUUUAAAGUUGUAACAUUGAACAAUUUGAGUCUAUCAAUUUUCUGUUUUAAUGCAUACCCUACUCUUGUUUUGUUUGUACGGUUGGUCCACAACCACCAAUUCGAACAGCAUUUAUAUAUACAUGUUACCAGUCAAAUAAGAGUCAGAACAGAGAAAAUAAUUAUAAUUAUAAUAACGAUAAUAUUUAAUGCUUUACUUUUAUACACAUAUUACUAAUAAACUAAUGACACUUGGGAUUUUCGGAUGGUAGUUGGUGGUGGAUAGAUUUGGUAAUUUCGUCUAAUUAAUACAUUAAUAAGAGAAAACAAAUUGUUCUGUCUUCCACAGAAUAAUUAAUUGAGUAAUGAUAUAGACAUUCUAGAUUCUUAUUUUAAAUAAUGU
rnacentral:lncRNA from 1 species